rnacentral:rRNA from 1 species
CCUACGGGUGGCUGCAGUAGGGAAUCUUCCACAAUGGACGAAAGUCUGAUGGAGCAACGCCGCGUGAGUGAAGAAGGUUUUCGGCUCGUAAAGCUCUGUUGGUAGUGAAGAAAGAUAGAGGUAGUAACUGGCCUUUAUUUGACGGUAAUUACUUAGAAAGUCACGGCUAACUACGUGCCAGCAGCCGCGGUAAUACGUAGGUGGCAAGCGUUGUCCGGAUUUAUUGGGCGUAAAGCGAGUGCAGGCGGUUUAAUAAGUCUGAUGUGAAAGCCCUCGGCUCAACCGGGGAAUUGCAUUCGAAACUGGUGAACUUGAGUGCAGAAGAGGAGAGUGGAAUUCCAGGUGUAGCGGUGGAAUGCGUAGAUAUAUGGAAGAACACCAGUGGCGAAGGCGGCUCUCUGGUCUGUAACUGACGCUGAGGCUCGAAAGCAUGGGGAGCGAACAGGAUUAGAUACCCGAGUAGUC